rnacentral:rRNA from 1 species
CAUGUGACAUACCUACUGUUGCUUCGGCGGGAUUGCCCCGGGCGCCUCGUGCGCCCCGGAUCAGGCGCCCGCCUAGGAAACUUAACUCUUGUUUUAUUUUGGAAUCUUCUGAGUAGUUUUUACAAAUAAAUAAAAACUUUCAACAACGGAUCUCUUGGUUCUGGCACGAUGAAGAACGCAGCGAAAUGCGAUAAGUAAUGUGAAUUGCAGAAUUCAGUGAAUCAUCGAAUCUUUGAACGCACAUUGCGCCCGCCAGUAUUCUGGCGGGCAUGCCUGUCUGAGCGUCAUUUCAACCCUCAUGCCCCUAGGGCGUGGUGUUGGGGAUCGGCCAAAGCCCGCGAGGGACGGCCGGCCCCUAAAUCUAGUGGCGGACCCGUCGUGGCCUCCUCUGCGAAGUAGUAAUAUUCCGCAUCGGACAGCGACGAGCCCCUGCCGUUAAACCCCCAACUUUCCAAGGUUGACCUCAGAUCAGGUAGGAAUACCCGCUGAACUUAAGCAUAUCAA